CUUAAUGAUGACUAAACAAAAACAAAGCUGGAAUUACUGGCUGAACGAUUACAUGUUGAUACGUUUUUUAACUACUUCUGAAU
rnacentral:snoRNA from 1 species